AUCGAACGCUGGCGGCAGGCUUAACACAUGCAAGUCGAGCGAGCGGCGGACGGGUGAGUAAUGUCUUGGAAACUGCCUGACGGAGGGGGAUAACUACUGUAAACGGUAGCUAAUACCGCAUACCAUCAGAUGUGCCCAGGUGGGAUUAGCGAGUGGGUGGGGUAAUGGCUCACCAAGGCGACGAUGCCUAGCAGGUCUGAGAGGAUGACCAGCCACACUGGAACGGAGACACGGCCCAGACUCCUACGGGAGGCAGCAGUGGGGAAUAUUGCGCAAUGGGCGAAAGCCUGAUGCAGCAAUGCCGCGUGUGUGAAGAAGGCCUUCGGGUUGUAAAACACUUUCAGCGGGGAGGCGGUACUCAAAGAAGAAGCACCGGCUAACUCCGUGCCAGCAGCCGCGGUAAUAC
rnacentral:rRNA from 1 species